AUGGGAAGUAUUAGAAUUUUUUUUGACUACAUCAAGGAAGAAAAUAAAUCAGUUUGUAGACGUUGCAAAGAAAAAAUAGGAGGGAAUCAUGUAACAAACUUAAAAAAGCAUGUCCGAACGCAGCACAAGGAGGAAUACGAAGAGUGGUUAAACAAACAAAAGACCGAAGAAGAAGAUAACCUCAAAAACAAAAAACGGAAUCGAGAAGACGAAGAUGCUGCAGCAGGAAGUUCAGCAAAAAAGUUGAAGCAAGGCGACAUAAGAUCGGCUCUCUUUAACGAAGUGACGGUGAAGAUUAACAUGGAGACUAUCGAAAAUGCCUGCAUAAACCUAAUUAUAAAUGGACGUCCUUUGGUUUUGAUGGACGAUGCAGCAUUCCAUAGUAUCAUAGAUCCUAUAUUAGAGGGAUUGAAGACAACAGCCAAAAUCAAUCGGCAAAACAUAAGAAUGAAAGUGAUUGAGAAAGCAGAUGCACAGAGAAAGAAAAUCAGCGGAGAAUUGCGCGGGAAAAUGUUUUCAUUAAAACUUGACAUAUGCACAAAAAGAGGUAGGAGCGUCCUCGGGAUCAACGCCCAAUUUAUCGCAGACGAUGGACAUUUGUACAUCAGAACUUUGGCAGUGUUUGAUUUAGCCGAACGACACACAGGUGUGUACAUUAUUUCUGUAUUGUUGAAAACUUUAAAGACGUACUCGAUAAAUAUUAGUCAAAUAUUUUGCAUGACGACUGACAAUGGAUCCAAUAUGGUAAAGGCGGUGAAAUUAAUGGACGCUGACAUCGAAGCAGCAGAGAUUGAACAACGUGAAGAAAUGGUGCAGCAGCAUACAGGAGAGGAAGAAGAAGAAUGCGGGUUGGACAAUCAGUUUUUCCAAAACGACGAAGAAGAAAUGGGGCAGAUUCGAGGUUUUCGCUGUGCGGCUCAUACCCUACAAUUAACUAUAGCUGAUGUGUGGAAAAGUGGAAAGUACUCCAACGUCUUAGCCAAAGUCCGACGAGCUGUGAAAGAGUUGAAAAAUACAAACGUCGUGAUUCUACUGAAACUAAAGAAGUUGAAUGUGGCCAUAAUAGAUUGCCCAACGAGGUGGUCCUCCACGUACCUUAUGCUGCAACGGCUAAUCUCGCUGAGAGAAUUUUGCGUGGAGUAUGCAGGCUCCUUCCCUAACCUGCACUUGACUGAGGGCACUUGGAAUAUUAUCACAGAGAUGUUAACCUCUCUUCAGCCGUUGGACAUUGCAACAAAGCAACUCCAGUCAGAGGACUUACUCAUGGGUGACUUACUCGCUGCUUGGACCAAUUGCGUUCUUCACCUUAUUUCUGUCGGUACCAACAUCUCGGAAGACUUAUAUAAAGCAAUGCAGAAAAGGCAAGAUAUUCUGUUAGAAAAUGCAAUUUUCUGCAGUUCGGUGUUGAUGGACCCGCGAUAUAAGGGCCUCCUGAGCAAGCAGCAGAAAGAAAAAGCUAUUACUCAUCUACUCACUACGUGGCAAACCAUCAAUCUACUGGAGGCGCCGGUCGAAGAUUCUCAAGAGAUUGGUUCAGCAGCAGAAUGUGCAGAAGAACUACCCCAAACGUCUGCCGAUCCCCUGGAAGGGUUUCUAGCUCAAGCAGAUGAAGCAGCGUCUUCAGCAGAAACGACUCCUCAAAACUCUGAUGAAAUUAAGCGCAUCCUGCAAAAUUACAGCACUCAAAAGAGACCCGUUGACCUGAAGAAUUAUGCUAGUCCCAUGCUGUAUUGGAAGGCAAAGAAGGCGGAUUCUCAUCCCAACUUCGUAUUGUACAAACUUGCUCAGGUGGUUUUAUCAGCUCCUGCCACGCAGGUUAGUGUUGAAAGACUGUUUUCGGGCCUAGCGUUCAUUCUAUCCCCCCUCAGAGCCAGCAUCGCGCCGGACUUGCUGGAAAGUAUCCUGUUGCUCCGGUAUGCUUAA
rnacentral:lncRNA from 1 species